rnacentral:lncRNA from 1 species
AGCUGGACCUCUUCCACAUCUUUCAGAAUACUGACUUCAGUUCCUGUUAACACACUUAUCUUUAGACAUCAUGGGACCCAGUCCAGUUGAAAGGUAAAUGUGUACAGAUUAGUCCACCUAGCCCACUUUAUCUACUAACUGGAUCUAGAGACCAGAUCUUUUUUAAACUUCACAUUCUCCUUGCAGGUGUGCUUCUGACUUUCUAUAUUUUUCUGGACACCAUAUCUAAGCUUCAGUCUUACUUUGGAACCUUCUUCAGAGAUUGGAGCCUUUUCAUCCUGGAAUAUUCAAUCAUUUCUGUGGUUUCCUCACAGUGGAAUAUCAUCCCGUCAUGUUGGCCCCCUUCACCCUUUGAGAGCUAUCAAAUGGUAGAAGAAAGGAAGAGGUCCUCUUUACUGCAUGAAUAAAGUUCACCUGCAGAAAGAAAAAGUUGCUGCAACUGUGGGUUUCCGGGCUAACUAAGAGCCAAUCCCAAGUGUCACUUAGGGUCCUUUCAGCUGUAAGGCUGUGUUUCAUGCCAAGCACAUUUAAUUGAAAGCCAGGAGGACAGAAGCACAGCUCUGUAACAUUUAUAGAUCUCACUGUUCCCUGAGGCCAGUGUAAUGGGUGCUUCCUACCAUGGCUUAAGCUUUUCUGUAAUCCCUAUUUACUUAGAAUUGAUGUUGGACAAUCAUUGUGUCCCCUUAAAAAUCUUUCCACCACCAGGAGACAGUCUGGGGUGUUUGUUAAAUCCCUCAUAUAAAUAGUUGUUUUUCCCAGUGACUGACCAUCUCUCAAUGUUAAAUAUUAACAAAAAGCUGCCUCCCCAGCUGCUUGGAAAGCUUUCUGUUUUAAAUAUUUAAAUAAUUGCUUUUCAUGUCCCUGAGUGACUGUUUGACUCAAAUGGUUCUGUAACUAGUUUUGCCUGUUUGGUUAUUAAAUUGCA